GAUGAACGCUGGCGGCGUGCCUAAUACAUGCAAGUCGAGCGAACAGACGAGGAGCUUGCUCCUCUGACGUUAGCGGCGGACGGGUGAGUAACACGUGGAUAACCUACCUAUAAGACUGGGAUAACUUCGGGAAACCGGAGCUAAUACCGGAUAAUAUAUUGAACCGCAUGGUUCAAUAGUGAAAGACGGUUUUGCUGUCACUUAUAGAUGGAUCCGCGCCGCAUUAGCUAGUUGGUAAGGUAACGGCUUAUCAAGGCAACGAUGCGUAGCCGACCUGAGAGGGUGAUAGGCCACACUGGAACUGAGACACGGUCCAGACUCCUACGGGAGGCAGCAGUAGGGAAUCUUCCGCAAUGGGCGAAAGCCUGACGGAGCAACGCCGCGUGAGUGAUGAAGGUCUUCGGAUCGUAAAACUCUGUUAUUAGGGAAGAACAAAUGUGUAAGUAACUAUGCACGUCUUGACGGUACCUAAUCAGAAAGCCACGGCUAACUACGUG
rnacentral:rRNA from 1 species